CCUGAAAGUUUAUGGAUCGGUGAGGCCUUGUCUCCGCAUAAGCAUGUUUUCUGGACUUUGGCUGAAGCUAAAUUCCUGACUUCUGAAAGAGGGGUGGGUGUGGACUUCCAGCAGGAAUAGCCAGUGGGAAGGAAGUAAUAUUCAUUAAGAGUGUCUCAUGCAAGCAGUGCGGGGCUAAGCAUGCUCAGUGUAAAUUCUCCUGGAGCCUGUCAAGCUAUGUUUGAACUCGUUCCAGGAUAGUGGAUUUACUUUUUUUUCCCCACCAGGAAGAAUACUCGAUUAGACUGCAUUUUGCCUUGCUUUUCCUUCUCCCUUUCUCUCUCUUUCUUUCUUUCUUUCUUUCUUUCUUUCUUUCUUUCUUUCUUUCUUUCUUUCUUUCUUUCUUUCUUUCUUUUUCUUUCUCUCUCUCUCUCUCUUUCUUUCUUUCCUUUCUUUUCUUUCUUUCCUCUUUCUCUUUCCUUCUUUCUUUUUUUCUUCUUUCUUUCCUUCCUUCCUUCCAUCUUUCUUUUCUUUCUUUCCAUUUUUUUUUUCCUCCAGAAGAAUGGAAACAGUAUUCUUUUCCGAUCAGUUCAGUAAUACAAUGUCCUUCAGUGUCCAUAUGAGCAUUUCAGUGGAGAAGAAAAGAAACUUUGCUACCUGGGAACUGAAGACUACUUAGUGAAGAUCCCGGUGUUACACAUCCAAUCGUUCACCUCCUUCCAAGACUAUGACAUUCCAGGAAACCUUCACUGCUAAGAGGAACUAAGAUCUAGAGUAUCUCCUCGAGGAAGUACAACUGGUGGGGAGCAGUAUGUGUCCAGAGCUCUAGAGGGACCGAAAGGCCAAGUGUCCACGGUGGCAAGAGAAUCCAGGAGACUGGACCAUCAAGUCUUUUACUCAGAGACUGGAGACCACGCCUUACCUCUCGGAACAGCCCUGUGUGAACCUCCGACUUUAUGAUACGUUGUGAUUGUGAUACAGGACUUCCCAUGCAGCGCGUAAGCCAUGCAGGCUUAUUACUCACACCACACUCACCUGGACCCAGAGACCUCCAGGCACUGAGGACUGCGUCUCCCGGAAGUAUUUCCCUGAGAAAUUGCAGAGGACCUCAGUCCUGCAACUCACACAGAGGCUGUUCUUCGUGGCCGGAACCGGACCCCACGCCCUCUGGGGCACAUCCCUGAGUGCGAGCACUCUUCUCUCGCCCUCCUCCCACCCAGGCACCGUCCCAACUGGGCACUGCCUUGCUAUGCCCCACAUCUCCCACAAGGGGGAGCCGCCGGAGGGCAGCUGGGGCUGCGGAAUUUUGGAAGCGCAGAAGUUUUCUCCUCCUGUCCUGUAACUGGUUUUCACUCACUCAACUGAGAGAUUUCUUUGUUGCAAUGAUGGGGUCUAAGAUAACACUUCUGGAGGCUGCAGGCGAGAAACACAGCUGAUAUCAUCUUUUAUUGUGUGUUGUUAUUUGCCUAGCAUUAUAAAUUAAGGAGGAAUAGUAACAAAGAGCUUGAAGACAUGCACAGCUCACAGGCCCCGGGUGGAGGCUGGCGACAUCAGACAGACAGAACCAAGACAUCUGAGGGGCAACCAGGAGGUGCGUGUGGCUGCAGAGCACACAGACUUGUCUUUGGACAAAAUUGAGAAGAACUCAUAAACUUGGCUUCCUCGCUUCUGCUCCUCAGACGCGCGUGGAUGAUUUGAAGAUAUUAGCCUAACAAGAUGGAAGCAGGUUUAAAAUUUUACAUAAGAAGUUACCUUUUUCAGUUGUGUUGAUGUUCCUUUCAGCUGGUCCUAUAGUACCCCUCCUCAGGAAUGUCUCCCCAGUGCAAGGACAAAGACUGAAGAGACUGCUAUAUUGAUGGACUCUCAAGCCAACUAUGAAGUUGAAACAAAGAAAGUGAUCACCUGAAGACACCUCCUCUGCUAAGAAACACCCCCAAAUUGUGCAGCUUCUGCCACUAGAACUCUCAGAACAAGAGACAAUCUUUUCAAGAAACAGAAAAACUCAAUAAUGACAUCUAGAUUUUCAUGAGCCAAGAACUUUCCCUUCCUCAUGUGUAUUCCUCUGUUUGUACUUAAAUUCAUGUGACAUUCAUUUUUUUCCUAGUAUGGAUAUGCUUAUUAAUGCACUUGUUUCAAAAUCCCAAAUUGCACAAAUGUGUUAAUAUUUUAAGAAACAAAAUGAAUCCUACAAGGAGAAUGAUUUUUAGCCACACAUAGGGUUGGAUCUUGAGAGUGACCUACAGAAUAAAAGUACUUUUAAAAUAAAGUAGUCAGAGGCUAUUCAAAGGGUAAAAUAAUCAUAGUACCACAUUGGUCCACUUGACACUAACCAAUCGAUCAUUUUUUUUUAAUCAAGAAAGCUAGAUUCUAUCAGAUAAAAUCACUGCUUCUAAAGAGUUUAAAUCUAGUUAGAAAAAGUUAUAGAAAUGUUUGCAAAGAUAAGUAACAGAUAGAGUCAGUAGAGGAUAAGAUCAAAAACAAAACCAAGCAAAAGAUGAGUUCAGGGGAGUUUGCCAUCAAGUUGGCAAAACUGACUUACUUAGGGAAGAAAGUUAUAAAACAGGAAAAUAUGAGAUGAACCUUGAGUGAUGUGGAAGAUUUAGAUAAAUGGAAAGGAAGGAGAAAAUGGAGUUCUUUAGGUGGUUGUAAUUGGAGGAGGAAAUGAAUACACACAUCUUGUUGACUUAAACCCAGACAUUCAGCAGCUCUCUAUACAUAUCUGGAAAAGACUGCACAGUCACCUCCUGUCUCUCACCCCAGGUAUUACUUAGAAUUAUUAUCAUAUUUCCCUUCCUUUAAAGUAAGUAAGGGUGAUUGGUGACAAUAUGGAGAACUAUGAUUUUUCCAUUAACCUAAUAAUAAUUGGUAUUUAUUGAGUUCUGUUAAGCAUUUUACAUAUUAACUCACUUAAGCCUUUCAACAGCCUUGCAAAAUAGGUAUUAUUAUCCCCAUUUUACAGGCAAGAAAACUGAGGUUUAAGUAACUUGCCGAAGUGCCAUAUACAGGGCUCACAUUCAGUAUUGCAGUUGCAAAGCUCAUGAUCUAUAGUGCCAAGUUGCAAUAUUGUAGUCAAUGUCACAAUUAUUACCCCUUUUUAUAUUCCUUGAUAUUUUUCCAUGGCAAACAAUUAGCUAUUUCAUUUAAUAAUCACCUAAAACUUUUCAGUCUUCUGAUUAAAAUUACGCUGGAGUGAUAGAAUGUAUUUUCAUGAUAGAAAUUGGGAAAAAAAAUGGGGAAUGAAGUUUAUCAGCAUUUCAGACUUGUUUUUUUUUUUUUUUUUUGCAAGACUUUGAUGAGAUUGUUCACUUUUGUCUAUGUAAAAUCCCAAAUCCUUGAGAAUAAAAAAGGGGGAGGUUUAAGUCACUUGUUGCAAUGCCCUUUUUAAUAGAGGCAAUAAAUCUAAAGGCCAUAAAUUUAGAGUGACUUACAGAAGAUCGAACUUUGGAGUGUGGCAGAGUAAGGGAUGGAAACCGGGCCCUCCAGUUCACUAUCAGUAGCUUUUGCACUGGUCUGCCCUUCCUAAAUUAAGUAUGCACUUCAAUUUGAUGAGUGGAAACAGUCUAUCUGGGCAGUAACCAGGGAGCUUUGUGCCUAGUAGAUUGCUUCUGUUCUGCACUUCUUUGGUUUCCCACCUCAAUGUAAAAAAUAGCUAGCAAUGAAGUCCAGAAGUUGUCAAUGGUUCAUCCCCAGAAGAAUGCAUAAUGUCCAAAGUUGUAUGUGUAUGAUGUCUUCAAUGGUAUUAAGUUAUUUCAAAUUCUUAGUUCACCUACAUAAAUCAUUUCUAACAAGCAUCUUCUUAACCAACUUUAUGCACAGUGUAUGUUUGUAAGUGCUUCUGCACGAAUGUUUAUACAUGACUGUUUCCAUAGUACUUAUGUUUUUAAAAAUAUUCAGUCAUUUCCUACUAUAAUCCUCAUGUAUCCAUGUAACUGACUCAAAAAUACUUCAGCCACAGAAAGCUAAAACUGAGCAAAUCUCAUUCUUCUUUUCCAUCCCCUUUGCAUGUGGCUGGCAUUUAGUAAUGAUUAAUAAUAUGGCCAGCUGAAUAACAGAGGUUUGAGACACAAUUCUUUCUCAAAGGAGUCAGCUAAGCUGGGUCUACUUAUGGACAAACAUCUAAAUGUGUGGAAGUAUCUGAUAUUUGACAAUGGUAAAUUUCCACUUAGCUAGCUAGCAUUGUCAGACUUCAAUCUCCUCAUGGCUCUGGCCGUCCUGUUUUAAGCAUGAUAAUUGUUGGCCACAUCUCACAUAGUUCUCAUUGAGUGAGUUCAUAAAUAAACAGGGUUUUUUUUUUUUUUUAAAGAGCAGCCAAGCACAAAGUGUGACUUUGUUGACAUUUUAUGUGACUUUGUCAUAUGUUCCUAACCCCCAAUAAAAGCAAUGUUGCAUCAACUGUGAA
rnacentral:lncRNA from 1 species